GACAGAGGGUGCAAGCGUUGUUCGGAAUCAUUGGGCGUAAAGCGCGCGUAGGCGGCUUUGCAAGUCGGAUGUGAAAGCCCCGGGCUCAACCCGGGAAGUGCAUCCGAAACUGCAUGGCUUGAGUCCCAGAGAGGGUGGUGGAAUUCCGAGUGUAGAGGUGAAAUUCGUAGAUAUUCGGAGGAACACCAGUGGCGAAGGCGACCGCCUGGAUGGAGACUGACGCUGAGGUGCGAAAGCGUGGGGAGCAAACAGG
rnacentral:rRNA from 1 species